rnacentral:rRNA from 1 species
GCGAUAAGUAAUGUGAAUUGCAGAAUUACGUGAAUCAUCGAAUCUUUGAACGCAUAUUGCACUCUCUGGUAAUCCGGGGAGUAUGCCUGUUUGAGGGUCAGUAAAUAACAAUUUAUCACAAUCGUUGGUUGUGGAAUUGGGCUCUUAUUUCGAAUAGA